CCCUUAGACGUUCUGGGCCGCACGCGCGCUACACUGACCAGUGCAACAAGCAUCCGUCCUUGGCCGACAGGCCCGGGCAAUCUUUGAACGCUGGUCGUGAUGGGGAUAGACUUUUGCAAUUUUUGGUCUUCAACGAGGAAUUCCUAGUAAACGCAAGUCAUCAACUUGCAUUGAUUACGUCCCUGCCCUUUGUACACACCGCCCGUCGCACCUACCGAUUGAAUGGUCCGGUGAAGCCUCCGGAUUGGCGCGCACCUCGGUGCCGCCGAGAAGUUGGCUAAACCUUACCAUUUAGAGAAAGGUGAAGUCGUAACA
rnacentral:rRNA from 1 species